GGAUAUCCUGCAGAAUUCCGCCCCUUGCCGGAUCCCGCGGCCCGCUGCCAGAGUUUGAUCCCUGGCUCCAGGACGAACCGCUGGCGGCGUGCCCUAACACACAUGCAAGUCGAGCCGGGGAAUGCCAGCCAAUGUAUUCCUAGCCGGCGGCCGGGUGAGUAACGCGUGGGCACCCUCCCCUGCACAGGGGGAUAACACAGGGAAACUUGUGCUAAUACCGCAUAACAUACUUAUAUGGCAUCAUAUAGGUAUCAAAGGAGCAAUCCGGUGCAGGAUGGGCCCGCGUCCGAUUAGCUAGUUGGUAGGGUAACGGCCUCACCAAGGCGACGACUCGGUACGCCCGAACUGAGAGGUUGCUCGCCCCACCAUUGGGCACUGAGACAAGCCCCAGACUCCUACGGGAGGCAGCAGUGGGGAAUAUUCCGCAAUGGGGGGCCCCCUCACGCAGCAACCCCGCGUGGAGGAAGAAGGUCUUCGGAUUGUAAACUCCUUUGAUGAGGCACGAAGGAAGCGAC
rnacentral:rRNA from 1 species